rfam:Bacillus pseudofirmus OF4, complete genome.
CGCGGGGUGGAGCAGUUCGGUAGCUCGUCGGGCUCAUAACCCGAAGGUCGGAGGUUCAAAUCCUUCCCCCGCAA